AGAUUGAACGCUGGCGGCAUGCCUUACACAUGCAAGUCGAACGGCAGCACGGGAGCAAUCCUGGUGGCGAGUGGCGAACGGGUGAGUAAUAUAUCGGAACGUGCCCAGUCGUGGGGGAUAACGCAGCGAAAGCUGUGCUAAUACCGCAUACGAUCUAUGGAUGAAAGCGGGGAUCGCAAGACCUCGCGCGUAUUGGAGCGGCCGAUAUCAGAUUAGCUAGUUGGUAGGGGUAAAGCCUACCGAAGGCGACGAUCUGUAGCUGGUCUGAGAGGACGACCAGCCACACUGGAACUGAGACGACGUCCAGUACCU
rnacentral:rRNA from 1 species